rnacentral:rRNA from 1 species
UACGUAGGGGGCUAGCGUUGUCCGGAAUUACUGGGCGUAAAGGGCGCGUAGGCGGUUCGAUAAGUCCCGUGUGAAAUCCCUCGGCUCAACUGAGGAACUGCACGGGAAACUGACGGGCUUGAGUUCGGGAGAGGGAAGCGGAAUUCCGGGUGUAGCGGUGAAAUGCGUAGAUAUCCGGAGGAACACCGGUGGCGAAGGCGGCUUCCUGGACCGACACUGACGCUGAGGCGCGAAAGCUAGGGGAGCAAACGGG